CAGCACUCGGGGAGCUGUAACCCAGUGCGGUAGCUAU
rfam:Aeromonas salmonicida subsp. salmonicida A449, complete genome.